CUGGAAACUCUAGUGAGAAAUUCAUUUUCUUGCCCUUUUCAGCUUCUAGAGGCCACACCUCGUUCAGAAUUAAUAGACCAGAUGUGACUGGAGUGACUUGCACCCAGAUGCCUAGACUCACCAUCUGCUCAAAGAUUGCUCAGAAAGUCCUCCCAUGCAUUCCCUUGCUGCAUACCAGCCCACUCUGCCUGCAGCUGCUGUCUGCAGGACUUCAUAUCUGCCCCACACUGUUUAAAAGCUGUGCUUCAAGAAAUCGCAAGAACAUUUGCCUGCACCUACUACACUGCCUAAAUGUGGCAUAAGUUGACCUUGCUUUCUGAGAAAUGGGGCAAGAAAUGCUUUGUGUGUGUGUGUUGUGUCUGUUUGUGUUUUAGUUAAGAGAGAAAAGCAUUAGGCAGAUGGAAUGUACAUGUGAGGAUGAGGAGACAGAGAAGAAGUAGCCCUUUCCAUCAAGAUAGAGGGUUUUCUGGGGUGCUGGGUCUUGAGUUCACUCCUGAUUCUUCUUUCUUAGGCACUGUACCACCAGCCUACUGAGGUUGUGUGGGCGCUUUCAUGGGGGUUGUAUUUCACUAAUGAAAAUAAAUUUGGUGCACAAUCUGAA